AUUGAACGCUGGCGGCAUGCUUUACACAUGCAAGUCGAACGGUAACAGCACUUCGGUGGCUGACGAGUGGCGAACGGGUGAGUAAUGUAUCGGAACGUGCCCAGUAGUGGGGGAUAACUACUCGAAAGAGUGGCUAAUACCGCAUGAGAUCUCUGGAUGAAAGCGGGGGACCGUAAGGCCUCGCGCUACUGGAGCGGCCGAUAUCAGAUUAGGUUGUUGGUGGGGUAAAGGCCUACCAAGCCUGCGAUCUGUAGCUGGUCUGAGAGGACGACCAGCCACACUGGGACUGAGACACGGCCCAGACUCCUACGGGAGGCAGCAGUGGGGAAUUUUGGACAAUGGACGCAAGUCUGAUCCAGCAAUGCCGCGUGCAGGACGAAGGCCUCGGUU
rnacentral:rRNA from 1 species